rfam:Triticum aestivum genome assembly, contig: Triticum_aestivum_CS42_TGACv1_scaffold_288727_4AL
AAAGUAGAUGAGGAGGAUAUUGUGUCUCAUAUCCUUGCUGGACUCGAUGAGGAGUUCGAUCCCGUGGUCUCUCGGGUCGAGCCGGUGACCGUCCCUGAGCUGUACUCGCAGCUCCUGAGCUUCGAGA